rnacentral:rRNA from 1 species
AGAGUUUGAUCCUGGCUCAGGAUGAACGCUGGCGGCGUGCUUAACACAUGCAAGUCACGGGGGCCCAGCAAUGGGCAACCGGCGAACGGGUGCGUAACACGUGAGCAAUCUACCGAAAUGAGGGGGAUAGCCGGCCCAACGGCCGGGUAAUACCGCAUACGCUCGAGACCAGGCAUUUGGACUCGAGGAAACCUCCGGGGCAUUUCGAGGAGCUCGCGGCCUAUCAGCUAGUUGGUGAGGUAACGGCUCACCAAGGCGACGACGGGUAGCUGGUCUGAGAGGAUGGCCAGCCACAUUGGGACUGAGAUACGGCCCAGACUCCUACGGGAGGCAGCAGUGGGGAAUCUUGCGCAAUGGCCUAACGGCUGACGCAGCGACGCCGCGUGAGGGAUGACGCUCUUCGGAGUGUAAACCUCUUUUGCCUGAGACGAAUUGCCAGCUUUAGCUGGUUUGACUGUAUCGGGUGAAUAAGCACCGGCUAACUCCGUGCCAGCAGCCGCGGUAAUACGGGGGGUGCGAGCGUUGUCCGGAAUCACUGGGCGUAAAGGGCGCGUAGGUGGUCUGAUAAGGGUGUGGUGAAAGCCCGGGGCUCAACCCCGGGUCGGCCGUGCCGACUGUUAGACUAGAGUACUGUAGGGGCAGGCGGAAUUCCGGGUGUAGCGGUGGAAUGCGUAGAGAUCCGGA